rnacentral:rRNA from 1 species
AUGGCGGGGUGGUGGGAGAAGGCUACGAAGAAGCUAAGAGAGGAGGAUGCAGCCGCACUAGAUAAGGAGAAGAAAGAGGAGAUCGAAGAGAAGAGGAAGGAACAUGAGAGAGGAAUUUUUGAGUAUAUCACUAGGCAACACAAGUUGAAGAUAAAAUGUGAGGAGGCAGAGAAGAAGCGCCUAAAGGAUUUUCAAGAAAGAGCCUUGAAACUUUGGGCUUUUGAAGCUGAAAAGAAAGAGAGGGAGAACAAGAUAUUCAUGGAGAGGGUGGUUAAGGAGGCUCACCGCAUAAGGAAAAGGGAGGAGGAAGAAGAAGAAGAGAUGAAGAAGAAGAAGGGAAAGGGGUCUUGCUCGACGCAAUAG